CGUGUAGGCGGUUUUGUAAGUCUGAUGUGAAAGCCCUGGGCUCAACCUGGGAAGUGCAUUGGAUACUGCAAGACUUGAAUACGGGAGAGGGCAGUGGAAUUCCUGGUGUAGGAGUGAAAUCCGUAGAUAUCAGGAGGAACACCGGUGGCGAAGGCGGCUGCCUGGACCGAUAUUGACGCUGAGACGCGAAAGCGUGGGUAGCAAACA
rnacentral:rRNA from 1 species